ACCAUGAGCAAGCACUUGGCGACAAGGGCAAGGAAAAACUGCCUGUUAAAAGGCAGAAACCUAGGACAGAUCCUCCGGCUCUAGGUGGGUGGUCGUCUGUCUCGACCAGUUGGGGUGAGAGAGAGAGAGAGAGAGAGAGAGAGAGAGAGAGAGAGAGAGAGAGAGAGAGCGACAGACAGGUGCACA